CGCGGGGUAGAGCAGUUUGGUAGCUCGCAAGGCUCAUAACCUUGAGGUCACGGGUUCAAAUCCUGUCCCCGC
rnacentral:tRNA from 1 species